GCUCCAGUAGCUCAGUUAGUAGAGCAUGGGACUGUUAAUCCCAGGGUCAUGUGUUCAAGCCCAGUGCUGGGUG
rnacentral:tRNA from 1 species